rnacentral:rRNA from 1 species
CCUACGGGAGGCAGCAGUGAGGAAUAUUGGUCAAUGGGCGCGAGCCUGAACCAGCCAAGUAGCGUGAAGGAUGACUGCCCUACGGGUUGUAAACUUCUUUUAUAAAGGAAUAAAUGGAGGCACGUGUGCCUUUUUGCAUGUACUUUAUGAAUAAGGAUCGGCUAACUCCGUGACAGCCGCCGCGGUAAUACGGAGGAUCCGCGCAUUAUCCGGAUUUAUUGGGUUUAAAGGGAGCGGAGAUGGGGGGUUAAGUCAGUUGUGAAAGUUUGCGGCUCAACCGUAAAAUUGCAAUUGAAACUGGCAGCCUUGAGUACAGUAGAGGUAGGCGGAAUGCGUGGUGUAGCGGUGAAAUGCUUAGAUAUCACGAAGAACUCCGAUUGCGAAGGCAGCUUACUAAACUGCCACUGACAUUGAUGCUCGAAAGUGUGGGUAUCAAACAGGAUUAGAUACCCUGGUAGUC